rnacentral:ncRNA from 19 species
AACGGCGAUGGGGAUGGAGUCCCCCGACAACCGCCGCGAGGCUGAUGACUCCUACCGGGCG